AUUGAACGCUGGCGGCAUGCCUUACACAUGCAAGUCGAACGGCAGCACGGGGCAACCUGGUGGCGAGUGGCGAACGGGUGAGUAAUGCAUCGGAACGUACCUUUCAGUGGGGGAUAACGUAGCGAAAGUUACGCUAAUACCGCAUAUUCUGUGAGCAGGAAAGCAGGGGAUCGCAAGACCUUGCGCUGAUUGAGCGGCCGAUGUCAGAUUAGCUAGUUGGUGAGGUAAAGGCUCACCAAGGCGACGAUCUGUAGCGGGUCUGAGAGGAUGAUCCGCCACACUGGAACUGAGACACGGUCCAGACUCCUACGGGAGGCAGAAGUGGGGAAUUUUGGACAAGGGGGGCAACCCUGAUCCAGCCAUGCCGCGUGAGUGAAGAAGGCCUUCGGGUUGUAAAGCUCUUUCGGCCGGGAAGAAAUCGCACGGGCUAAUACCCUGUGUGGAUGACGGUACCGGAAUAAGAAGCACCGGCUAACUACGUGCCAGCCGCCGCGGUAAGAC
rnacentral:rRNA from 1 species